rnacentral:misc_RNA from 1 species
AAAAUAUCCAAAAUAUAUGUUCUAAGACUGUCAUCAAAAUGGAACUAGCAAUUAACAAGUUACAAAGAGAAAAUAUGAAACAAGUCCUAAAAUAAAAGCUGAACUAAAAGUAAACCUAAUGUUGCCAUCACUGCUAUUGCUACUGUUGCUGGUUUUACUGUCAGAUGAAGUACAGGCUGCUGCUGCAGGAUCUGCUGGUGGUGUUGCUGGGUCUACUGUAGGUUUAGUUGUUGCUUCAGCUGUAGGUGUAGGUGUUACAUUAGUAGGUAACUCAGGUUGUUCUGAGUGCUCAAAAGUAGUCUCAAGAUUCUCAGUUAGAUCCUUCAUCUGCAGGAACAUGUCCUAACCUAAGUGAUAAAGAUUGUUAUAGGAUUGAGCUAGUUUGUUGUAGAGUUCAAUCAUCUUAACUUCAUGCUUCUACUGUUUCUUUUGCAUGGACUUAAGCUUCUACUGUAGUUUUUUUCUGCUGCUUGACUUAUUGCUUAGCUAAAGCUUCCACUUUGCUUUCUAAAGCUUUUAAUGCUGUCAAAAUGUCAUCAGUUACUAGUGCUGGAGAUGGUGCUUGGGUAGCUAGACCAUUAACCUUGGCUUCAAGUGAUUUUAACACUACUAAGAUCUCAGAAGUGGGUUGCUAUGCUGUAUAAGAUGGAGUUUGAGGUUCAUGCAUAGGUUCUGCAGAAGGGGUUGCAGAACCACUAGUUUCACAAGGGUUGCACUAAUAAAACAUAGACACCACCUCUUUUCUCACAAAUGUCCAUGUGCAGCAACAUAUUACUAUCAAGGAAAAACUCAUCACCCAUUGGCAGAAAGUUGUAAAUGCUAGCAGAAAAACCA